UCCCUGGUAGCUCAGAGGUUAAAGCAUCUGCCUGCAAUGUAGGAGACCUGGGUUCGAUCUCUGGGUGGGGAA
rnacentral:tRNA from 1 species